CCUACGGGAGGCAGCAGUGAGGAAUAUUGGUCAAUGGUCGCGAGACUGAACCAGCCAAGCCGCGUGAAGGAUGAAUGCCCAGAGUGUUGUAAACUUCUUUUGUAAGGGAAUAAAGUCUGGCACGCGUGCCUGUUUGUGUGUACUUGAAGAAUAAGCAUCGGCUAACUCCGUGCCAGCAGCCGCGGUAAUACGGAGGAUCCGAGCGUUAUCCGGAUUUAUUGGGUUUAAAGGGAGCGUAGGGGGGUUGUUAAGUCAGGUGUGAAAGGUCGGGGCUCAACCCUAAAAUUGCAAUUGAUACUGGCAGCCUCGAGUUCAGGUGAGGUAGGCGGAAUGCGUGGUGUAGCGGUGAAAUGCUUAGAUAUCGCGAAGAACUCCGAUUGCGAAGGCAGCUUGC
rnacentral:rRNA from 1 species